AAGAUGUUAGUAAAACCAUUACAUAGCCUUGUCAAGGCUAUAUCACAGAUGAAAACCCUGUACAUCUUA
rnacentral:tRNA from 1 species